GAUGAAGAACGUAGCGAAAUGCGAUAAGUAAUGUGAAUUGCAGAAUUCAGUGAAUCAUCGAAUCUUUGAACGCACAUUGCGCCCCCUGGUAUUCCGGGGGGCAUGCCUGUUCGAGCGUCAUUUCACCACUCAAGCCUCGCUUGGUAUUGGGCAACGCGGUCCGCCGCGUGCCUCAAAUCGACCGGCUGGGUCUUCUGUCCCCUAAGCGUUGUGGAAACUAUUCGCUAAAGGGUGUUCGGGAGGCUACGCCGUAAAACAACCCCAUUUCUAAGGUUGACCUCGGAUCAGGUAGGGAUACCCGAUGAACUUAAGCAUAUCAAUAAGCGGAGGA
rnacentral:misc_RNA from 1 species